rnacentral:rRNA from 1 species
UACAGAGGCCCCGAGCGUUAAUCGGAAUCACUGGGCUUAAAGGGUGCGUAGGCGGACUCGUAAGUGUCGUGUGAAAGCCCACUGCUUAACGGUGGAACCGCACGGCAAACUGCAAGUCUCGAGGAAGGUAGAGGCCGGUAGAACGAUUGGUGGAGCGGUGGAAUGCGUAGAUAUCAAUCGGAAUGCCAAAGGUGAAGACAGCCGGCUGGGCCUUUCCUGACGCUGAGGCACGAAAGCGUGGGGAGCAAACAGG